rnacentral:rRNA from 1 species
UAAUUCGAUGCAACGCGAAGAACCUUACCUACUCUUGACAUCCACAGAAUUCGGCAGAGAUACCUUAGUGCCUUCGGGAACUGUGAGACAGGUGCUGCAUGGCUGUCGUCAGCUCGUGUUGUGAAAUGUUGGGUUAAGUCCCGCAACGAGCGCAACCCUUAUCCUUUGUUGCCAGCGCGUNANGGNGGGAACUCAAAGGAGACUGCCGGUGAUAAACCGGAGGAAGGUGGGGAUGACGUCAAGUCAUCAUGGCCCUUACGAGUAGGGCUACACACGUGCUACAAUGGCGUAUACAAAGAGAAGCGAACUCGCGAGAGCCAGCGGACCUCAUAAAGUACGUCGUAGUCCGGAUCGGAGUCUGCAACUCGACUCCGNGAAGUCGGAAUCGC